UACGUAGGGUGCAAGCGUUAAUCGGAAUUACUGGGCGUAAAGCGUGCGCAGGCGGUUGUGUAAGACAGAUGUGAAAUCCCCGGGCUCAACCUGGGAACUGCAUUUGUGACUGCACAGCUGGAGUACGGUAGAGGGGGAUGGAAUUCCGCGUGUAGCAGUGAAAUGCGUAGAUAUGCGGAGGAACACCGAUGGCGAAGGCAGUCCCCUGGACCUGUACUGACGCUCAUGCACGAAAGCGUGGGGAGCAAACAGG
rnacentral:rRNA from 1 species